rnacentral:rRNA from 1 species
GCAGCAAAAAUUAUAGUUCUAAAGGCAGAGAUAAUAAGUAAAAUUAUAUUUAUUGACGCUCAGCCAGGGAAAGGCAUAAGACAUUUACUAUAAAUAAUUUCCUUGAUCAAAUUUGCCAAUAUUCAUCCAUUACAUUCAACAGAGGUAAAAAAAUUUCACUGAAAGUGAAUUUCAAUCAAACGGGAAAUAAGUUUCCUGGUGCGUUGGGUAAUUAAUUAGCGUGCUGGUCAAUU